GCCCAAUGUCUAUUUGGAGAAAGGACUCAGAUGGAGAUGACUUCACUGUACCAGGAGCCAGGUGUGAGGCUGACCUCCAGAGUAAGGCUGUGACCACCCAGGGCCAGCUAGGGCAGGUGGUGGGCAAGCGACAGACACCCUGAGGGAGCCAGCUGCAGCCACAGCACAGGGAGCCUCAGUAGGGGCCUGGACCAAUUAGGAAGGAAGGGGAGGCAGCAAUAAUUAAAAAUUAAAAGCCAACAAGACAGCAGUUUAAAAAUGGAAGGAGUGAGUAAAACAAUUAGCAGAGAUGAGGCAACAGGGCAGGCAUGAUACAAAUGGAGCUGAUCACAAAGCACUAAUGACAUCGGGAAACCUAAUUUUUACGGUGUCAGGACUGCGUGAUGAAGCACUGGGCCUGCUCCCCUGAACCAGUCUCAUGCUGUCUGAGGCGUUGGGGAGCCCAAAGGAGCCAUCACCUCACCAAGACCUUCCUAGGAGACAAGGUUUCAGCUGCUUUCCCUACUGGUCCACGAGUGCCCAGGACCCCGGGGGGGAGGACACACUCAGGACCUGAGUUAGGUGAGUCCCAUGAAGUUCUCCUCAGCACCC
rnacentral:lncRNA from 1 species